rnacentral:piRNA from 1 species
GACAGCGGAAAGAACAGAACUGGGAG